ACACUGAUAAUUCCCUGAGAUGAAGUGUGAUUUAUUUAGGAGGUGAAGGAUGCCUGUCAGAAUCAUCUGCAUCUGAAACAUGCAUCCCAGAAUAAUAAACACUACUGCUGUAAAUCAACAGAAGUGACAUCAUUUUGGAAGGAAAAUGGCAGCACAAACAUCAUUCGUCCCUGUUCAGGAAGGAACACAGCAUCAGACACUAUAAACCAGAGCUGGUCCCAGGACACAAGACUGCGCAGAUGUGAUCUUUGGCAAGGGCGAGAGGCACUUUGAGUGAUCAGAUGCACCAUUUUCAACCAUAAAACACAGGUUUAGGAUCCUACAGAUGCACAUUAUGGGAGGAACCCAAGUCAUAUCUACAGACCAGAAGUUACCCAGAAUGCAU